CCGCCCGGCUGCCGGAGCGGCGGGGCCCGCAAGGCGUGAGGAGGGACGCGGGUGCUGCGGGGUCUUGUAAUUAGAGGAUUUUACCCUUCCCGGCUGCUUCCGUUCUCUUGUAGAAGCUAGAGUUUGGCACGUCUUUAACCUUAUUUCGUCACGGAUAGAAACAGCAGCUCAGGAAGUUAAAACGCACUGUGUACAUUUGAGAUUCUUGAAAGUGAUUAAGAGAGUCCCAGGAAGGAAUUUUCAUUACAGUAUUUUAACAACGCAGAGAAGAAAACAGAAGCAUGAGCUACUCCAGUUUCAACAAGAUGAAAUACAAGCUUUUUGCAGCAUGUGUAGAUCAUUUUAGAGCAUGCUUAUCUCUCCGCCAUGUGCUCAAAGGCCACGUGUAUCUAUGGAGACUAUAUGUCACUUUCUGGAACCAUGCAGACUCAGUAAGCAGAUGCCGACAGCAUCCCAUCCACAUCCUGUCUGUAUUCAGAAGUAUUCUUGAAGAAGAUACCUAUAGGACCUGGGAGCUGACUUUUAAGAUCAUGAACAUGUUCGGUAUUUCAUCUGAAGGAAAAUACUCAGUGUCAGUGCAUAUAGAAAAUGUGGUAAAAACCAUCCCUUUAUACAGUUGAUUUCAUUUUUAUUACUUCAGUUGGGUUGCUAAUACCAAAAAUAGUUUGAAAAUGCUUUCAAAUAAAGAUAGAUAUUCAAUGUUU